rnacentral:lncRNA from 1 species
GAGCUCAAGCUCGACUCUCUUUCUCUUUAGUUUAUGUUUUGAAUAAUUUUUUUUUGCUUCCAUUAAGUACUCCAUCUUUAUUCCCUUAAUAAAUAUAAUUUUUGCUAAUGUCAAAAGGGGGAAGAAAAGGGCUAUGCAUAAAUUGAGGGGAAACUCAUUACGCGUUUGGCACAAACGUUUAAACAUGCAUAUCCCCAUCUCGGUUUGCCAUUAUCAAAAAGGCGGAAAUUGUUGGAACACACUUUCAAAG